UGCCAGCCGCCGCGGUAAUACGGAGGGUGUAAACGUUGCUCGGAAUCAUUGGGCGUAAAGCGCACGUAGGCGGUCUGGUAAGUUGGAUGUGAAAGCCCGGGGCUCAACCUCGGAAGUGCAUCCAAAACUGCUGGACUCGAAUCUCGGAGGGGGCCAGAGAAUUCCCGGUGUAGAGGUGAAAUUCGUAGAUAUCGGGAGGAAUACCAGUGGCGAAGGCGCUGGCCUGGACGAUGAUUGACGCUGAGGUGCGAAAGCAUGGGGAGCGAACAGGAUUAGAUA
rnacentral:rRNA from 1 species